rnacentral:rRNA from 1 species
GUGCCAGCAGCCGCGGCAAUACGGAGGGUGCGAGCGUUAAUCGGAAUUACUGGGCGUAAAGGGCGCGUAGGCGGUCGCGCAAGUCGGGUGUGAAAGCCCCGGGCUCAACCUGGGAAUUGCAUUCGAUACUGCGUAACUAGAGUCUGGUAGAGGGAAGCGGAAUUCCGCAUGUAGCGGUGAAAUGCGUAGAUAUGCGGAGGAACACCAGUGGCGAAGGCGGCUUCCUGGACCAAGACUGACGCUGAGGCGCGAAAGCGUGGGGAGCAAACAGGAUUAGAUACCCUGGUAGUCCACGCCCUAAACGAUGAGGACUAGACGUUGGGGGAUAAAACCCUUUAGUGUCGCAGCUAACGCGUGAAGUCCUCCGCCUGGGGAGUACGGCCGCAAGGUUGAAACUUAAAUGAAUUGACGG